GUAUAUUGUAAUAUUUCAUUAUCAAAUUUUUAUUUUUUCUUGUAUUCUCACCGACUUUUACAUGAACCAAAUAAAUCAUUACAGUGAGAAAAAAAGAUCAACGAAAUUUAUUAGGGAACAGAUAACAAUGUUUGAAUUUUCUUUAGUAGUGUUUAGGCCUAACUUCAACGCCUUCAAUGACCAGUCCACUUUUUACAUGGCAUCCCUUCACCUCCUUUAAACUCACUGUAACUUCUUCAUCUUCAUCAUCAUCUCCACUGUUUAAAAAUUCUCCUAACUCAAUUUCCAUCCAUCCAUCUUCCCUUUUAUACGGCACUCUUUCAUACCUCUGUUUUCCUUCCGGCAGAUCUUUUUCGUCCUUCCGGUGAUCUAGAGUCGCCGUGUGAACAUCUUUCUGAUUACCAAUUUCUACACUAGUCUCAACCGGCACUGAACUCAGACCAAAUGCACGAUCUGUGAUUUUCAUUAUGAAAUAAAUUCCAUAAUUCGUGUUUGCAGAAAGCAUACUUGUCAUCAGCUUUGCUUUUACUUCUAAUUUGCAUAUCACUUUCAGUUCAGCCACUUUUGAGAACCUUGAUUCUGGCAGAGAUUUCCAGGUCCAAUGAUCUGGUUCUUCCCCAUAUAAAAGGGACAAUUCUCCAGCUGAGAUUAUAAAUGAUUUUUUUCCACUUGAUUUCUCUAAGGCAAAGCUCUUUUUACCACCAUCAAUGAGAAUCGAAUUACAGAGACGAAUAAAAAGCUCUUUUUUAGAAGAAUAGUUCAAGGGUAUGACAGAUUUGUCAAUAAUUUUAUUAUAAUCAGAAGGCAAUAAUGUUUGCCAGACAAAAUCAGAUGCUGCCACUAAUCGGAGAAAGGAUGAAACCAAAGAGAAGCUAAUUGUAUCCUUAGGUGAAGUAAGAGAAAGAAUUGAAGAAAUACAAUCUUCUGGUAAUUCAUUGAAUACAUCUUCCCCUACCAUUAUCUACUGUUUGCCUUUUUUGAUGAUUUGGGCUAAUUUUUG
rnacentral:misc_RNA from 1 species